rnacentral:rRNA from 1 species
AGGUAAAUCCGGUUCACUUUAACACUGAGGCGUGACGACGAGGCACUACGGUGCUGAAGCAACAAAUGCCCUGCUUCCAGGAAAAGCCUCUAAGCAUCAGGUAACAUCAAAUCGUACCCCAAACCGACACAGGUGGUCAGGUAGAGAAUACCAAGGCGCUUGAGAGAACUCGGGUGAAGGAACUAGGCAAAAUGGUGCCGUAACUUCGGGAGAAGGCACGCUGACACGUAGGUGAAGUGAUUUACUCAUGGAGCUGAAGUCAGUCGAAGAUACCAGCUGGCUGCAACUGUUUAUUAAAAACACAGCACUGUGCAAACACGAAAGUGGACGUAUACGGUGUGACGCCUGCCCGGUGCCGGAAGGUUAAUUGAUGGGGUCAGCGCAAGCGAAGCUCCUGAUCGAAGCCCCGGUAAACGGCGGCCGUAACUAUAACGGUCCUAAGGUAGCGAAAUUCCUUGUCGGGUAAGUUCCGACCUGCACGAAUGGCGUAAUGAUGGCCAGGCUGUCUCCACCCGAGACUCAGUGAAAUUGAACUCGCUGUGAAGAUGCAGUGUACCCGCGGCAAGACGGAAAGACCCCGUGAACCUUUACUAUAGCUUGACACUGAACAUUGAGCCUUGAUGUGUAGGAUAGGUGGGAGGCUUUGAAGUGUGGACGCCAGUCUGCAUGGAGCCGACCUUGAAAUACCACCCUUUAAUGUUUGAUGUUCUAACGUGGACCCGUUACCCGGGUUGCGGACAGUGUCUGGUGGGUAGUUUGACUGGGGCGGUCUCCUCCUAAAGAGUAACGGAGGAGCACGAAGGUUGGCUAAUCCUGGUCGGACAUCAGGAGGUUAGUGCAAUGGCAUAAGCCAGCUUGACUGCGAGCGUGACGGCGCGAGCAGGUGCGAAAGCAGGUCAUAGUGAUCCGGUGGUUCUGAAUGGAAGGGCCAUCGCUCAACGGAUAAAAGGUACUCCGGGGAUAACAGGCUGAUACCGCCCAAGAGUUCAUAUCGACGGCGGUGUUUGGCACCUCGAUGUCGGCUCAUCACAUCCUGGGGCUGAAGUAGGUCCCAAGGGUAUGGCUGUUCGCCAUUUAAAGUGGUACGCGAGCUGGGUUUAGAACGUCGUGAGACAGUUCGGUCCCUAUCUGCCGUGGGCGCUGGAGAACUGAGGGGGGCUGCUCCUAGUACGAGAGGACCGGAGUGGACGCAUCACUGGUGUUCGGGUUGUCAUGCCAAUGGCACUGCCCGGUAGCUAAAUGCGGAAGAGAUAAGUGCUGAAAGCAUCUAAGCACGAAACUUGCCCCGAGAUGAGUUCUCCCUGAGACUUAGAGUCUCCUGAAGGAACGUUGAAGACGACGACGUUGAUAGGCCGGGUGUGUAAGCGCAGCGAUGCGUUGAGCUAACCGGUACUAAUGAACCGUGAGGCUUAACCUUACAACGCCG